rnacentral:rRNA from 1 species
GCAUCUAUAUUUUCAAUGUAUCAAUUCAGGAAAGAUAAUUGAAAGGAAAACAGAGCUAAAUGAAAGGAGGCUUCACAAUGUAACAGUGUCAUAAUCAUAGUGCCACACCAAAAAUAGAAGAGCGCGAGCUUCCCCAUGCGCUAUUUAAUACUACUAUAUACAUCAAAAUACUGUUGAACUAUUUCAAGAUGUUAUGGGUAAUGGUAGUGUAGAUUCAUGCAUUUCAGUGUAUUUGCUCACUCAUUUCACUCAUUUCACUCAUUUCACCAUUUUUCAGCAUUUGAGAGGCCAUGAGGAUCUUGGGAGGAACCAAGCAAGAGUGGCCGGUGACAGUAGGUAGGCAGAGCGACUAUUGUUCUAUCACAUUCACGGGCUAAGAGCAAGGAAACAACCAAAUCCCGAGUCCUAACUGCAACAAAAUCUUGUCCCAACGACGGAUUGGCCACGGUCAAUUUUCUUCCUCUUAUUAACAAGAUUUUGCGCGUGUAGUAGUUUUUACCUGGAAUUUCAAAGAUAAUAAAGGGGACAGGGAUAGGAAACAGAGCAUGACAGCAGAGUUUCUACUGUGUGUGUAACCUCAGCCAGAGAGUCUCUUCAAACAAUUUACAUAAUCGCUAACUUUUAACCACAAGUUGCACCCCGUAUUAUACCAAAGUCUAGCUAAUGCAGGAUCUAUUGCUGUGUACUCAUCCAUCCAAACAGUUAAAACACAUGAUUUGUCCACUCGGAACUAUAUUUACUUAUGAAGGCUACACAUUGAGCAUGCAUAACAAACCUAUUUCGUCAGAUGACAAUUGUGUUCAGCCUAAUGGAAAUGGCAGUAACAAGAUGCACGCCAACAGAAGCACAUCAUCCGAGAGUAAAUCAAAUACAACAAGAUGCAAGUUUUAAUUACAAGGAAAUUCAGAUUGGCAUGCUCUGACAGACUGGGAGCUUAUGCUCCUUCAGUUGGAACCCAAAAAAAAAAAUGCUCACAAAUGAGCUCAGCUGUGAUAUGAUAUACUCUGCACAGCAAAGCAAAAUAGCAUAAAAUUCACCUGUGGGGAUUUCUGGGCAGCCUCUUUUAGGUCCUCAACCGCACCUUCCCAAUCUUCUGUUAGAAGUUUAGCUUCACCUCUCUGCAGUAAGUAUGAGGAAUAGUUCAAUUAAGAG